AUGCUUCUUCUCUGAAGAUAAUCUAUCAAACGGAACCCAAUUCCUCUGAUUCCUCCAUAGCUGCACAAAAAGGAGUAAGGAGAAUUCUUGUACAUCUUAACAUUGGAUAAUUCGAUCCUCGAUCAUCAAACUUCUCCUCCUUCUCUCUCUGCUGUCACUAAAAGAUAUCCAGGACUGGAUUCUCUGCCUGCUCUCUGAUGGAUAUGAUGCUGAGGUGUUUAUGUUAAUGUACGAUCAUCAAGGUUCGAGUUAUUUUUCACCAUCAAGAUGGAGUUCUGCAUCAGCAUUCAAAACCAUUUAAAAACUCUUUAGGUGACGCUGACUAACAGUCGUAGUUUCAGAAGUCCACUAAGAGUUUAUGACAGCUAAGGAUUCCCAUAGAUUGCAAGUUCGAGAAGCAUUUAAGUGAAACAGACCUUUUGAUUAAUGAGGAAGCGGGAUGUAUUAUUGAACUAGUAAUAUAUGGUGUUGAUGAAGUUGUCUUAGCUGUUACAUUUCAUUGUAUACUAGACAAUGAAAUUGAAUAGGACCUGUAAACUGGCAUUGUGACAAUUACCAUGGCUAUUAGUAUCAUUCAAAUUAACCUAUUAUCGUCGAGUAUCAUUUGAGCUCCCUUUAAGCAUCAGCUAAUGCUAUAUGAUCAUUGUGUUCCAACUGAUGUAUGCUUCGGCUGUUACAAGGAUUUGA
rnacentral:lncRNA from 1 species